AGUACAACUGCAUGCUGAAAUAGGAGAUUGCUAGAUAGACCACACUGGCACCCGAGGAACCCACGAGGAGGAGGAGGAGGAGGAGAAAAAUCGAGUUUCCACAUUUGAAACUGAACCUGGAACAGCCCCAAGAACUUGCCACACCCAGUCGGCUGUGAUGCACAGACUCAGCACCAGGUGUGAGGCCGUGCUUAAUGAACACCACUUAAUGAAGAAAAAGGCUCUGAGAAAACACCUGGUGCGAGCAGGGUGCGGGAGUCACCGACGGGCCUUCCCUGCACCUGCUGGCAUUUUAAUCAGCACCUUUUGGAGCAUCCCCACUACAAGCUGGUCAAUGGUGUCAGAAGAAGGUCCCUGGCCAGUGACUACACUCGCUGACAGUCUGGGGACCCUUGCUUCUUAAGGACCAUAUGCUCGGGGGCUGGCUCACCCUGAACGUAAUUAAAAUGCAGCAUUUCAGCUGCAAGGACCUGGUCUGCUAAGACCUCUCUCAGACCUCUCAGAAUGGCUCCUGCUUCCAGGUCCUCGGAGGCCCUACCCUGGGACUGAGCUCUGAAGCGUCCCAGUGAAGCCAGAGGCUCCUCAUUCUUGGGCCCGGGUCCCAGGAACCAGAAUGGUCGCAUUUCAGCAGCCACCGGCCCCGACUUGUUUCCUGUUGUGCUUUUUCUUCUCUUGAAGGCCAUUCCCAGCUGCCACCACUGUCGUUUUUUUACAGUCUGAUGUGACAUUUUGCCACACCAGCAAAGGUCUGCUAAGCACUGUGCUAUGCACUGAUAUGGUUUAAGAAGUCAGAGUGAAACACGUUCUCCCUGCAGGAGUUUACUGGCCACAAACCAAAACACACAUAAAUCUAUCACAAAGCAAAAAAUCUCUAAAACCCAAAGACUAGAGGAGUAUAAGGUUUCAGACUUUGGUUUUAAAAUAAUAGGGGGUUGGGGACAGCAGCCAACACCUGUUGGCAGUCUUCUGCAUGGCCUCACCUGGGAAGGGGAGAAAUGGCUCAGGCAACAAAACAGCUAAUCCUGGGUCAAAGUGACAACCCAAAAAAUGCCACAGACACAAGCAAUGCCCGGUGGAGAGAACUGGAAGCCGGCGUGGACUCAGUGGAGAAGGGCUUUCUGGGGAAGGGAUGCCGGAGGCUUUGUCCCUGCAGGCUCCAGGGAGCAGGAUGGUUUCCACUAUUCAAAUGCCCCACAACCAUUUCUAAACAACCCAGUAGGGUUCAUAGUGUUCUACGGAUGGGGACACAGUGGCUCAGAGGGGUUAAGGAUGUUGCCCAAGGUCACAGAGCUAAAGAAAAUGGCUGGGCUGUCAAUGAAACCAUGCUCUUUCUACCACACCAUGUUACCUGAGGAAUUGCACAAACACGAAAGUGUUCACUUCUGUCCAAGCCACCCAUUUGAUCAAUACGACGCCAGCCUACCAGCCUAUAUGAUGAGUUUCCCUCAUGGGCAAUCCCCAGCCCUCACAGAGCAUAAUGCACUAGACAAGCCAAAAAAACCAAAACAAAAUCUGUCAUAGGAAGUCUAAGGAAAUCUCAACUCCCCGAGUUCCCACGGCGCAGCUUUAAAGUGCGCGCAGCUCGACGGCAUAUGGCAAAUCAAUUACUAGUUUAAAUCUUAAAACAAAAACAUGGCAAAUGCAGCACAGAAAUAAUCAGGUACAAUGGUUCAGCUCAGAUUACAGCGGCCACUGGAGUUUUGAAUACAAUUAAUCAUCGUUCCAGGCAAUGGGAAGCCAUAUUGACACUUAUUCCUAAUUUGAAUAUUUAAUUAGGGUGAAGUUCUUCAUCAAAUUAUCGCAGAACUGGGAGAAAGCCUGGAAGACUUACACAAUUACCACCUUAACCCCUUCCCAGCUGCUCCCUGCCUGAGAACACUCUGGCUCUGCUGGGGGGAGGAGUACGCCUGCUCUGUUCGGCCCUGAUUCUGUGGGGGGUGGGAGAUGGGGGUGGGGUGUCUGGAACAGUUAAGAUUGAGAGGAGAAAGCCAAAGAGCCCAGCAUGUGACCCAGGCCUGCAGUGACUGGAGAUGGAGAUCCAGAUGAGCCUGGAGAAGAGCUGCAUGCUGGGUGCUGGGUGCAGAUGGAGCACCAGCUACGACAGGUCUACCCCACCUCCACUCAACUCUCCCCAGGAGCUGCUGAGAGGAGGAGAAACAGAGGCUUGGAGGAGUGCUGAGACUUGCCCCAAGUGGUCAAGUUAGCCCAGUUACUCAUCACCCAGCAGUUCCCACAGCAGCUCCCUCAGCCAUUGGCUGGCUCAACAGGGCCUCUCAGCCCACCUGUGAGACUUUGUGGUCCCUGCUGCAGCCUCUUGGGCAUAUAUUCACUCUGUAAACCAUGUCCACGGAAAAGAUACAGAGACGUGCUUCCUGUGUGCUGUGUGAUAUGAGAGUUAACAUUAGUAAUUAAGAUAGGAAUGAGAGAGCUUGCAUUUGCCUUGGUCAAGCUACCAUGGAAGGCGGGUUUAUGACAAAUUGCUGUCAUCAGAACUGCUCGGUAAAUUCUGACACUGUGAGAAGUUACAA
rnacentral:lncRNA from 1 species